rnacentral:lncRNA from 1 species
AUUGGGGUCCCAUCCACUGGGGGGGGGUCCCAUCAAUGGGGGAGGGUCCCAUCCAUCCCUACACCACAGUGGCACCAAGGGGGUCCCAUCCACGGGGGUCCCAACCAAGGGGGUCCCAUCCAUGGGUGGUGGGGUCCCAUCUAGGGGGGUCCUAUCCAUCCCUACACCACAGUGGCACCAAGGGGGUCCCAUCCAUUUUAGGCAGGGGUCCCAUCCAUGGGGGUCCCAUGCAUCCCAACACCACAAUGGCACCAAGGGGGUCCCAUCCAUGGGGUCCCAUCCAUGGGGGUCCCAUCCAUUUGGGGCGGGGGUCCCAUCCAUGGGGGUCCCAUCCAUCCCUACACCACAGUGGCACCAAGGGGGUCCCAUCCACGGGGGUCCCAUCCACGGGGGUCCCAUCCUUCGGGGUCCCGCCCAUCCCACCGCCGCGCUGCCUCCGUGUCCCCGUACUUUGCACCAGGGCGCUGCUGGGGGGCGGUGGGAGCAGGGGGGGGAUCUCCACGGCCGUGUGCUCCGCCCUGUGCUCCGCUCUGCGCAGCGCCGCCGCCGGGUUGUUGUGCGCGGGGGGGUUGGCGACCGCGAAGCCGCCGUCGGGGGGGGGCGGCGGGUUGUUGUGGGGGCCUCGGCGGGGGGCGGGCGGGGGGCACUCGGUGUGGUUGCCCAGGGGGGGCUCCCCGGUGGCCAAUUUGUUGUUUUUCAUGUUGUCGAUGUCCUCGGCCACCGGCGGCUCCAGCCGCGCCGGGUCCUGCUGGAUGGGCCGCGUGGUGGACAGCGUGGGGGCCGGCAGCGCCGCCGUGCCGUGGUUCUCCCUGGGGGGGGGUUGGGGGGGGCUCAGAGCGGGACCCCCAGCCGGGGGUGCGAGGUGGGGAGGUGGGGGGGUCAGUGCUGCCGCAGGUGGGGGUGGGGUGGGGUGGAGAUGGGAUGGGGAUGGGGUUGGGAUGGAGAUGGGGAUGAAGAUGGAGAUGGAAUGGAGAUGGAGAUGGAGAUGGGAUGGAAAUGGGGUUAGGGUUGGAGUAGAGAUGGGGUGGGAUGAAGAUGGGUUGGGAUGGAGAUGGGGUUGGAGUGGAGAUGGGAUGGAGAUGGGAAUGAGAUCGAGGUGGGAUGGAGAUGGGAUGGGAUGGGGUUGGGAUGGAGAUGGGGUUGGGGUGGAAACAGGGAUGGGAUGGGAUGGAGAUGGGAUGGGGUGGAAAUAGGGCUGGGAUGGGAUGCGUUUGGGA